rnacentral:rRNA from 1 species
GGGUGUGAUCAUACCAUUGUUAAUGCAUCAUAUCCCAUCAAAACUUUGCAGUUAAGCAUGCUUGGGCUAGAGUAGUACUGGGAUGGGUGAGCUCUCAAGAAGUUCUAGUGUUGCACCCU